rnacentral:rRNA from 1 species
GUGGGGAAUCUUGCGCAAUGGGCGAAAGCCUGACGCAGCCAUGCCGCGUGAAUGAUGAAGGUCUUAGGAUUGUAAAAUUCUUUCACCGGGGACGAUAAUGACGGUACCCGGAGAAGAAGCUCCGGCUAACUUCGUGCCAGCAGCCGCGGUAAUACGAAGGGGGCUAGCGUUGCUCGGAAUUACUGGGCGUAAAGGGCGCGUAGGCGGACAGCUUAGUCAGAGGUGAAGGCCCAGGGCUCAACCUUGGAAUUGCCUUUGAUACUGGCUGUCUUGAGUUUGGGAGAGGUGAGUGGAACUCCGAGUGUAGAGGUGAAAUUCGUAGAUAUUCGGAAGAACACCAGUGGCGAAGGCGACUCACUGGCCCAAUACUGACGCUGAGGCGCGAAAGCGUGGGGAGCAAACAGGAUUAGAAACCCGGGUAGUCC